rnacentral:rRNA from 1 species
UACGAAGGGUGCAAACGUUGCUCGGAAUUAUUGGGCGUAAAGCGCACGUAGGCGGCUUGGCAAGUCGGAUGUGAAAUCCCUCGGCUCAACCAAGGAAGUGCAUCCGAAACUGCUGAGCUUGAGUACUUAAGAGGAUCGCGGAAUUCCCGGUGUAGAGGUGAAAUUCGUAGAUAUCGGGAGGAACACCAGUGGCGAAGGCGGCGAUCUGGGAAGAUACUGACGCUGAGGUGCGGAAAGCGUGGGGAGCAAACAGGGAUUAAGAAACCCGGGGUAGUCC